rnacentral:rRNA from 1 species
CCUACGGGAGGCAGCAGUGGGGAAUAUUGCACAAUGGGGGAAACCCUGAUGCAGCAACGCCGCGUGAAGGAAGACGGUUUUCGGAUUGUAAACUUCUGUUCUUAGUGAAGAAUAAUGACGGUAGCUAAGGAGCAAGCCACGGCUAACUACGUGCCAGCAGCCGCGGUAAUACGUAGGUGGCAAGCGUUGUCCGGAAUUACUGGGUGUAAAGGGAGCGCAGGCGGGAAGGCAAGUCAGCUGUGAAAACUACGGGCUUAACUUGUAGACUGCAGUUGAAACUGGGUUUCGUGAGUGUAGGAGAGGUAGGUGGAAUUCGUGGUGUAGGGGUGAAAUGCGUAGAUAUCAGGAGGAACACUGGUUGCGAAGUCGGCCUACUGGGACUUUACUGACGCUGAUGCACGAAAGUGUGGGGAGUAAACAGGAUUAGAUACACUUGUAGUC